rnacentral:lncRNA from 1 species
GGCUACUCGAUUUCCUCAAGCUAUUACUCCUUGUGCGGAUGUGAUAUCUCUUUUCAGUCUCAGUCGACGGUGGACUUGGCGACGGCAGCUCAUAGAUGGAAGUACUCCGCCGGCCAACACUUCCACUCGUCGCCGUCGGGCCACUUCCAUCCACCAGGUAACUGAUAAUCCUUCCCACCCUGCACCACCUUUUGAUUCGAUCUCCACUUGUUUGUGCACAGCGGGACGAGCUUUGAGCCCGCCGGCCGCACUACGUGUACCUAGCAGCUCUCGCGCUCGAUUCACUCCCCAUUUGGUCGCACCUCGUCCUGGAUCAGUUGCGUGCGUUUUCUUGUGUUAGCGGGACGAAGGUGGCCGGGGACGAGGGAUCAUUUACCGUCCGGCCUGGGAAAAAGUAGGCGAUUAGCGUCGGAUGAUGUUUUCUUGUGAAUGUCUGUUUCAUAUAGCUAUUUGCAAAUGCGAAUGGCUAUGGCUUAUUGUACUUACCUGCACGAUUCUUCUCAAGUUCUUUUGAAAUGUGUGCAACCGUAUGCCUAGUAAGUGAAUCUACACUCUAAAUUAUAUCUACAUACAUUCGUAUGCAGUCUAUAUUGAAAUCUUUACAAAGACUUAUAUUUACAAAUGUAGGGAUUAUAACCUUUCUCACAAGAUUACUUUUAAAGUGUAAAAUGUGGCAAGAUAUUUUUUAAAUUUCGUAUAAUUUAUCAUAAAAUCGCCAGGUUUUAGUCAAUUCAAUGAUUUUUAAAUAGAUUUCAUAUUUCCAUUUAAAUUAGAUAGUUAUCAAUGAUACAAAAAUAGAAAAUAGCUUUGGAAAUUAAAUAACUUUGAAGCUUAUUUUUUGUCAAAGUUUAGACCCUUUUGAGACUUCUUGCGAAUGGGCUUUCAAAAAAAAAUAGCUUGUUGAUACGAGUAGUCUAUCAUUUCUAUUAAGGCAGCAUGUCACAUACACCUCACUAGAAAAACCGAUGCUAUUGUUGGCAGAGAGAACCGUCCCCCUCGUAGCACACGUCUAUGUGCAUCAGUGCGAGCAUCCAUGUGUGCUCAUGUUGUGUGCGACGGUGGGACACACGCACAAUCUACAUGUCUACUCCACUAACUCGGUCACGUCCAUGAAACCAUGAGGGUUGUGAUACCGUUUGUAAUGUCUCGGCCAUAGUCACCGGUUCCUGGCCGUUACGCCUGGCAAGAUCUAGCUAGACUGGCCUCAUAUACUGACAUUAGUUUUUUCUUCGCACUUUGUUCUCACUUGGUCACUCAUCCUCAAAUCACUCCAAGCCAAACACACAAAAUUUGAAGGUUUCUUACGAAUAUGCUCUUGGAAAAGAAGAAAUUAUUUGUUAAUAUGAUUAGUCUAUCGUUUCUAUUAAGCCAACAUCUCAUAUCAUCCACAAUAACAUGCAUUGCCGUAGCAUCUCUACCGUUCGAAGAACAUCUGACUGAACCGAUGUGCUACACUACAAGCAACACCUUCAAGAGAAAAUCAUCACUUGCACGAUGAUGUUUGCUGGUCUAAACAAAAGUCAAAGCUAGAGUUGUCACUGCCGUAGAACUCUGAACCAGCACCUUCAACAUGGCGUAUGUGUUAUAGAAUCUUUAGAUCUGGGAAGAGUUGUGUUAAUCAAGAGAAGCAAUUGGUUGGAUCUAAGUAUGGAAAAAUCGACCACUUGUUAUAUGUUGUUCCACGCCUAGUCCGGUUUAUCCAAUAAUAUAGACUGUUGGUGAAGUAGUGUAAGCCUACGUUGAGUGGGGUGAUGACCCAACCAAUAUUUCUUCAAUGAUCACUAAGUCUCGUUCCUAGCGACAAGGGACUAUUGUGGUCUUCAGUGCGGUGAGGCGUUUGCAGGCGUUUAUUUCCCUUAUUGUUGGUUCAGUCCAAUUUAAACUUCAUCGAGCAGCGUACAAUCAAAGGAAGAAGAUAGACAGUAUAGUUUUUUAUGUUUCUUGUUGUUUCGUGUCAUUUUUCCUUGUCAUUGUACUAUCUAAUGUUUUCCUUGGGUGUCUAUUUUUUAAAAUAUAUAAAUAAUGAUCAAUGUAUGGCAUUGCUAAUAUUUCACUCACACAAAAUUUUGUUUUCAUCUACCUGCAACUAUAAACAAAAUGCUACCAAAAUCAAUUAACAAAAGAAAUAUUUCUAAACUUUGUCGUUGUGAGGAAAUGAUCGCAAUGAUUACAUGCCACAUAUUUUCCAUCUAUCGGAUUCUAUUUUUGUUAUCUUUAUGCGGUUCACUCUGUUUUGUUUGACAGGUGCCUAGCUGCUGGCCGAGCCAGACAAAUGGAGCUGGAAGAUGAAGCCGAUAUUUGGGCGCCCAUUUUGGCUCAUCCUCUUGACCAGUCACCAUCUUCUGAUGUUAUUUUUCUUCCGAGCCAGGUAUAUUCGAUUACAUACAUAACUGCCUGAUUUCCUUUCUUGUCAUUGAACAAAACUCUGGUUUAUAAUUGCUUGCAGGCGACACUCUGCAACGUGUCGUCCCAGUAAGUCAACAACAAUAUAUGAUUCUAAUAUGUUUUUUGUAAAAGGGAAGUUAAACCUCUGGUCUCUGCAUAUAAGAUUCUAAUAUGAAUUAUAUAAUAAUAUAUGUGAUCCUAAAGAAGACUGAAUGCGGGUAUGAUCCAUGUUGACAUACUCUUUUUUUUUUUGCGAAGUUAUUGGCAUACACUUAAAAGUGAG